GACGAACGCUGGCGGCGUGCUUAACACAUGCAAGUCGAGCGGUAAGGCCCUUUCGGGGGUACACGAGCGGCGAACGGGUGAGUAACACGUGGGUGACCUGCCCUCAGCUCUGGGAUAAGCCUGGGAAACGUGGGUCUAAUACCGGGAUAUGACUCCAUGACGCAUGUUGUGGGGUGGAAAGCCUUGUGCGGCUGGAGGAUGGGCCCGCGGCCUAUCAGCUUGUUGGUGGGGUGA
rnacentral:rRNA from 1 species